GUUGGCAAACAUACCACCUGCAGAUCUGACUUCGUAACUCAUCUGAAGCUAGGCAGGUUUGGGCCUGGCCAGUACUUGGCUGGGAAACUAACUAGGAAAGCUGGGUUGCUGCUG
rnacentral:rRNA from 1 species